rnacentral:lncRNA from 1 species
AGCACUGGCUUGUCUGGUCGCCUUCCCCUAAGGAUAAGCAGGUAUCUGGUGAGGAUGAAGGAGGCUGUUUGGUUGCAGGGAAGAAAACAGAAGUGAAGGAUGGUUGUUGAGAUACAUAUCCUAUAUAUGGAUCCUUGGGCCUGGGUGGGAGUGGAAAGGGCAACUCAAAAGUCAUAAGGGACGUGUCCUGGUACCUGAAAGAGUUCAAGUGACUGUGCCUGAGAACCUAUCUCAGCAUCACUAGAUCAAUGGCCGCCAGCUACUUAGAGACCUCAGUAUCCCCAUGGCCUUUGAGGGAAAUAUGUGAAGAGGCACAGAAAGCUCUUGUCUCAGACUAGCCUGGGUGGAGUCCUGCUCCACUACAUACUGCCAUAGGCCCUCUGGAAGGUCACAGCCUUCCUGAGCCUCAGAUCUUCCUCCAACAUUAAAGUACAAUGUCAGAAGCACCGGCUGCCCACCUGCCUGCUAAAGAAACUGAGGAGUCACAAAAGGGACGGGAAAGCAGGGCCUCAAACAGUGUAGGGCUUAGAGCAUCUCUGUAUCAUCAGAAGCCACUGUGAGCAUCACGAAGUGUAAGCACCUCUCAGCUGGGGCUGCAACAGAGAGGAUGGACUUUGCCUGAUCCAGAGUGGUACCCUGACUUGAGGUCCUGGCUGUUGCUCUUUUGAUGCUCACCACCUCCUAGAGUUCAAAGUCCCUUUUCCAUUCCCGAGGAGCAGGCCUUUCUCUUAGGAUUAACAACACAACUGCCCAUGUCUACAGCUGCACUACCCCUAAUUCACCUGAUCUAGAAUUAACAGUAGAGGCUCAGGACUCUACUUACUGAACAAUUGCUGAGGCCAGACACGGGUGCUGAAGAGCAUGACUGUAACCACGUGGUGCUGGGGAACCCUGAAAAUCCCCAUACACUCACCCUCUCCCCCAAAUGCCAGGAGCCCAUGUGGCCUAUGGUAUUGUAGAUUGCCUAGGAUGUAGCUGACAGCUCACACCACCGCUACUCUCUGGAGCUUUUAGCUCACAAGCCUGGGUCCUAGUAGCCCUAACAAGCCUCUCGUCAAUUGGCUAUUUAAAGAAACACGUGAUCAUGAAAGGCAGAAAAUAAGAUUCACUUCUUGUGGCCACACUGUGGGGGAAGAACAGAGGUUCAAUGACCCCUGAAAGCCCAUCUUCAGGCACCUUCGUGAGAUUUAGGUUUAAGCACUUAUAACUAAGCAGUCCAGUCCCUAUCAAGGUGGGUGGUCAUAGUCUGGGCUCCGGUCUCCCAAAAGGUGGUCUGAUCAACUGUUCAAACUGAAAUCUCUUCCGAGGAGGUAAUGUCCUUCCUCUGGCUGGCACUGGGGUCCCAGCCUUUUGCUUCACCCAGCACGAGUGUCUAGAAUAUCUACACUGCUGCCAGGAUAGCCACACUGCCAGCUGUUUUCUAAUUAGAAGCGCAUAUAAAGCCCCAGAGUCCCAAGAAAUCCAAGAGCAGAAGUGUUCCUGGAGUCAGAAACUUCAAUCUACCUUUCUCUACUCUCUUCUGCCUCCCUGACUCCAUCUGCUAUGGGCAAUAUCAACACCACCACCCUUGGCCUCAGCCAGUGAGGGGUCAGAAGGGCUUGGUGGGCAAAAGAAAGCCGUAAUAGCAACUAGGUAUGGAUACCCUGUGCCCCACAGCUCUAUGACAGCAGCCUCAGGGAUACACUGUCCUGUCUCAGAAGCUACACUCUCCUCUGUUUUUAUGGUCUUAAGGUGGGUGGCUUUUGCUGUGGCCAGAUGAAAGGGGGGUCACCGCCCUUGCUUGGCUUAUCUAUACCAAACCUUGGUCAGGAGUCCCUAGGCAACACUCCUGCACCAUCUCCAUCUCGGGCUAUAACUGAGAUGCACAGACCAAGGCCCCCAGAAGGCAAGCACUGAAUGGUCUUGGGCUGUGUCCCACAAUGCACUCCCUUCUGUGAGGGCUUGACUCUAUCCUGGUCCAAGAUGGGUACCAGAAAAUGAGAACAUCCCAGAGCAUCCAGAAGGAAGGCUGAGUCUACCAGACCUCAGACCCGAGCAUAAGUGCCCCCACUGGAAAGCCCCUAUGGUGGCUCUACUUCCCACUAGGAAACAAUGCCUGUCCCCUCCUCCCACUGAACCUACCUCCAGCACCAACCGACCGGCAGUGAUGCCCUACCUGCCAUAUUGUUGCCAGCAGUAAUGCCCCUGGAUGCUGGCCCAUUGGGGUGGCAGGACUUUCCCAGGGUCCAGGGCUCAGCUGGGGUCCCCGUCUUCCCAGCAGUAGCAGCUUAAUGGAGAGAUGGGGGCUUUCCUGGCCUUAAGUCCCCAGGAGGAUUGUGUGGUUGGGUCCCUGCAGGCCUAGGGGUCCUAGGGUCUGUAUAGGAAAUGGGCUAGGGAUCCU